AUCUUAUGGAUCUUCUUCAGCUCGUUCUUCAGAAAAGUGACAAUAUUGUCCUCCAGCACCAUAAAUAUUGAGUCCAGUUGUGUUUGAUUCUGCUGGGCAGACGGACCACUGGGAACCUCUGAGCUCUGCUGGUCCACUCUGUGGAGGAACCAGGAACAAUUAGGAAGUCAGGAAAUAUUCAUCCAGCAGUAUUCACAGAGAAAGUCAAGAGUUUCACAUUAAAUGUACUUGAGGCAGAAAAACAGAGCAUCAUAUGAACAAAAUGGAGUGAAGUUAAAAAGAGGAA